rnacentral:rRNA from 1 species
GACGAACGCUGGCGGCGUGCUUAACACAUGCAAGUCGAACGGAAAGGCCCUGCUUUUGUGGGGCGCUCGAGUGGCGAACGGGUGAGUAACACGUGAGUAACCUGCCCUUGACUUUGGGAUAACUUCAGGAAACUGGGGCUAAUACCGGAUAGGAGCUCCUGCUGCAUGGUGGGGGUUGGAAAGUUUCGGCGGUUGGGGAUGGACUCGCGGCUUAUCAGCUUGUUGGUGGGGUAGUGGCUUACCAAGGCUUUGACGGGUAGCCGGCCUGAGAGGGUGACCGGCCACAUUGGGACUGAGAUACGGCCCAGACUCCUACGGGAGGCAGCAGUGGGGAAUAUUGCACAAUGGGCGGAAGCCUGAUGCAGCAACGCCGCGUGCGGGAUGACGGCCUUCGGGUUGUAAACCGCUUUCGCCUGUGACGAAGCGUGAGUGACGGUAAUGGGGAAAGAAGCACCGGCUAACUACGU